GCAGUGGGAAGGACCCUGAAAAGUAAAUACUGCUAAUUCAAAUAUUUGCACAUAGAACUGGCAAUAGCCAAAUUAUUUUUCAAUGAAUUGGACAUUUAAUUUUAGCAAGAAUGUGCAAAAAUGUGAUUCAUCUGUGCUGGGAUUACAGGCAUGAGCCACUGCACCUGGCCUGUUUUUUGUUUUCUCAAGACAAGGUCUCGCUCUGUCACCCAUGCUGGAGUGCAGUGGUGCAGUCAUUGCUUACUGCAGCCUCAAACCCUUGGGAUCAAGCAGUCCUCCCACCUUAGUCUCCCAGGUAGCUGGGAACAC
rnacentral:lncRNA from 1 species